UAUUAAAGUCACAACGGUGAAAGAUGAGCAUGCGUCCCAUUAGCUAGUUGGUAAGGUAACGGCGUUACCAAGGCAACGAUGGGUAGGGGUCCUGAGAGGGAGAUCCCCCACACUGGUACUGAGACACGGACCAGACUCCUACGGGAGGCAGCAGUGAGGAAUAUGGACAAUGGGCGCAAGCCUGAUCCAGCCAUGCCGCGUGCAGGAUGACGGUCCUAUGGAUUGUAAACUGCUUUUUAUACAGGAAGAAACACUACUUCGUGAAGUAGCUUGACGGUACUGUAAGAAUAAGGAUCGGCUAACUCCGUG
rnacentral:rRNA from 1 species